rnacentral:rRNA from 1 species
UACGAAGGGGGCUAGCGUUGUUCGGAAUCACUGGGCGUAAAGCGCGUGUAGGCGGCUUUGCAAGUCGGGUGUGAAAGCCCUCAGCUCAACUGAGGAAGUGCGCCCGAAACUGCAGAGCUUGAGUGCCGGAGAGGGUGGCGGAAUUCCCCAAGUAGAGGUGAAAAUUCGUAGAUAUGGGGAGGAACACCGGUGGCGAAGGCGGCCACCUGGACGGUAACUGACGCUGAGACGCGAAAGCGUGGGGAGCAAACAGG